rnacentral:misc_RNA from 1 species
GAGCGUCAUUACAACCCUCAAGCACUGCUUGGUAUUGGACGCUACCGUGUGGUGUGUCUCAAAAAUAUUGGCAGUGGCAUUCAGCUUCUAGUGUAGUACUUUUUCUCGCUUAGGAGUCUUUUGAGUGUCUUACUGCUAGAAUCCUCUAAUUCAUCACAAAGGUUGACCUCGGAUCAGGUAGGGAUACCCGCUGAACUUAA